GUUGCUAAUGACAACAUAAAGAUGUUUUGAAAUGACGAUUUCUUUCUCAUGCGAAAAAUUACAUCUGUUACAGUCAUGAAACUUACUCAUCUAUGCAAGACAAAAAUAUUUACAUAUUUUCUACUUAUUGAUGUGUACAGUUUCGACUAUUAUUAAAUAGAUAUGAUUUCAUUGUUCUUAUUUGUCAAUGAAACGAUUAAAUCUUCCAACUUGCUUCGUUAAACCCCUUGGCCCCUUUUAUCUGUGAGAAGUUAACGAGGAUUAAACGUAUUUAGGGAAAUACUUGCAGAGAUAUGAUGACAGAUUGCCAAGAAGGUAAAAAAAUGAGCAUUUUUGACACCUGCUUCUCUUUGCUUUCAAUCAAGGUUCCAAAGCUGCCAAAAACAGCUUGAGAAAUUUGUGUUGUGUGUGAAAACACUAUUACUGAAAGAACUGCAUAGAAAAUGUUUUCACAUGACAAGGAAGAGAAAUUUGACCUCACAGAUGCUCUGCAUUUCAGCCGACCUGUUUAGUUCAUUGAAUAUCAAUUGAACAAGCUCAUCCAUGAGGAUCCACAUCAAUCCAUAAAUGAGAUACUCUCAUGAUACUGUUAACCAUCAUCUUCACUUGAUUGGUAAGGUCUAUUGCACCCACUGUAGUCUCCUGAUAUAACAUCUUCAGAUUAUAGCCUGUAGUGAAACCUCUCUCUCCGGUAUUUAAUUACAAAUGAUAAUGUGGCGGCUAACAUCUAGCUUUCGGCCGCUUGGACCCUUGUGUCCAUCACCCUGAUUAGUUCUUAUUUGUGCGGCAUUUGUCAACAGUUCUGUUUCACGCCAGGGUGCAUACCGUCCAAUCGUGGCCUUCUAAUAAGGUCAUGUGAGAGAGUGUUUUCUGCCGGUUUCCAGUGAGCCCUUUUUCAUCUAUAAAUAAGCCUGCUUCAACCACGCCAGUUUGUCUCGGCUUUAGACCUCUCACAGGUCUUGUUGCAGACCACACACAGAACACAGCACCAGCCAGUUUCCAGCGACGACGUCAACAUCACCAAUCUACUGUCUAUUACAGUUCCAUCGCCAGCACCACCACCAGAGUACACACACCAACAACCGCGGUUUCAUCUCAACACUGUUUGAGUGGAUUGUUUCCACCACGAAGAACAGCCAGACCAACCAGCGAGAAUCUUCUGUACCAAGUAACCAGUCCAGCAUCGACGCUUAACUUCACACACAUAUUGUUGUAUACACACUAUUGUUCACACGAAGGCCUGCGUUAUUUAUAUUGCCGCAUGCACACACACACACAGUUCACUAUGUUAAUAAACCUACUCUUUAUAUAUCUAA